GACGAACGCUGGCGGCGUGCUUAACACAUGCAAGUCGAACGAUGAAGUUCCUUCGGGAAUGGAUUAGUGGCGAACGGGUGAGAAACACGUGAGAAACCUGCCUCUCAUUUUGGGAUAACUCCGGGAAACCGGAGCUAACACCGAAUACUCCGUCUCGGCGGCAUCGCUGAGCCGGGAAAAAAUUAUGAUGAAAGAUGGUCUCGCGGCCUAUCAGCUAGUUGGUGAGGUAAUGGCUCACCAAGGCGACGACGGGUAGCCGGCCUGAGAGGGCGACCGGCCACACUGGGACUGAGACACGGCCCAGACUCCUACGGGAGGCAGCAGUGGGGAAUAUUGGGCAAUGGGCGCAAGCCUGACCCAGCGACGCCGCGUGAGGGAUGAAGGCCUUCGGGUUGUAAACCUCUUUCAGUAGGGAAGAAGCGAAAGUGACGGUACCUAAAGAAGAAGCACCGGCUAACUAUGUGCCAGCAGCCGCCGUAA
rnacentral:rRNA from 1 species